UGUUCCUCUGUGGAAUCUACCCUUGGGGGCCCAUACACUGACCUGAUCUGCAGCUUCCAAAGAGCUGAGAAAGCUUCUGGGCUUGCUGAGAUUGGGAUAUACCUUAUUCUAAGCUGAACCCUGCAGUUCACUCCCUGCUCCAGCUGCAACUUCCUUCCAGCGCUGGACUCCACAUUGCAAGACUCUCGGAGGCCUGCUGCAGCUUCUUAGAGUGAUUUUAUAAACUGUACUUACACAUAUAGCUAUGUGUGCGGAGGGAAGGAUCAUGUAAACUGGGAUCUGCCCACAGCUCGCUUCACCUUGUAAAGAGCCUAAGAGUGAAGGCAAUCAGGCCCGAGAUACAAGACACACGGAGAACCACUCACCUACUGGAUCCAGCUCUGUAUAAAGCCACUCCCAUCCUUGAACUUCUCAGUUACAUAAUCCUCUCCCCCCCCCCCCAAAGCCUUCUUUGUUUAAACUGGUUUAAGCUAAGUCUCUGCCUUACCUCGCAGUCUGCUAGGAAGCAUUCCAGAAACCUGUUCAAAUUCAUUUUGCCACCAGCUAUGAAUGAGGGUGCUGACCUCUGAACCCUUGAUGCCACCAAGAUUUUACUUUACUCUUUAAUUUGUUCAGAGACCCAAAAAUUGCAGAUUUUAUAUUUUCAUGGCAGUUGAACAUUAGUAUUAACUCAUCUUUGCCCUUCUGUAAAUUGUCUAUUUUUAUAUGAACUUUUUAUAGAAUGAUGUUAAUAAGUCUUUUGUCUAUGAAUUUAUUUUCCAGUUUAUCUCUUGCCUCUUCAUGAUGAUCUUGAUACUCAGAAAUAUUUUAUGCACAUAACUCAUCUAGUACUUCUCUGUAACUCUCCAUCCUGGGAUGAGGCAAAUCCUCAUUUCUUUUCACAGAGAUGUCUGCCUCUUGGUCCACCUGGUAUUUUGGACUACAGGAAAGGCCUGAGUAUAUUUUUUUACCAGAAACAGUUCAAUGAGUCAUCCCAGUAUUCAUUAAACAUUUCUUUGCCAAUCUUCCUUAUGACAGCUUUAUCAGAUAUAAAAUUCAUUAA